rnacentral:rRNA from 1 species
AUUGAACGCUGGCGGCAUGAUUUACACAUGCAAGUCGAACGGUAACAGGCCGCAAGGUGCUGACGAGUGGCGCACGGGUGAGUAAUGCAUCGGAACGUGCCCAGUCGUGGGGGAUAACUACUCGAAAGAGUAGCUAAUACCGCAUACGAUCUAUGGAUGAAAGCGGGGGACCGUAAGGCCUCGCGCGAUUGGAGCGGCCGAUGUCAGAUUAGGUAGUUGGUGGGGUAAAGGCUCACCAAGCCAACGAUCUGUAGCUGGUCUGAGAGGACGACCAGCCACACUGGAACUGAGACACGGCCCAGCCUCCUACGGGAGGCAGCGGUGGGGAAUUUUGGACAAUGGGCGCAAGCCUGUUCCAGCAAGGCGCGUGCAGGAAGAAGGCCUUCGGGUUGUAAACUGCUUUUGUACGGAACGAAACGGCUCUGGUUAAUACCCGGGGCUAAUGACGGUACCGUAAGAAUAAGCACCGGCUAACUACGUG